UUUUCUUUUUCUUCCUUCUUCCCGUGAUCUUCUUUGGCAAAACAGGAGACCGAACGGUCCCUCCUCUUUUUGACCGACCGGUCAAGGCCAUAGUCGGCACGACGAUGGCCGAUGGCAAGAGGGCGACCCAUCCGAGGCUCAGAGGGACCAAGGCCGGCGGUCGGUGGUGACCGCCAACAUCAGAAAAUCGAAGAAAAGAGAGGGGCGGAACAGGAGACUUCUUCUCCGAUAAAAUCAGGCGACACCAGUCAUUGGCAAUCGUGCUCAUAGGUACGAAAAGAAAGGA
rnacentral:lncRNA from 1 species